rnacentral:lncRNA from 1 species
CAAGCCCCGAGGGCAGCAGCUGUGGGCAGGCUGGAGGAAAUGGUCCCUGUUUAGGUGCUGCACUGGUCUCUGCAUGAUCAAUCCCAGCGCCCAGAACACCGAUAUCAAGGCCUUUGCCUGGCUCUUCUCCAGAUGGUUUUCUAUUGCAGGAGUUUUGCUGGCAGAGAGCUUAUGAAGAAACAGGCUUACAGAAGGCACGGCCAGGCUGCAGGGAUGACUGGGACCUGAAAACAGCCAGCAUCAUCAUUCUUGAAAGUUUAGAAACGAGGCAUGUAUACGUAUUUAACAGUUCUCAGAAUGUCAAGGAUCCCUCCUCAGAGCAAGAGCUCGAAUUUACAAAAGAAGCACUACCUCCUUUAUCACAUAGUAAAAUAAAGGACCGUGUCUGCUCCAGGACAUGGCUGGUUACAAUUUUGUUUUAAAGAAAUCACCAGAGAAACCUGAGAUUCCAACCCAGCCUUUUGUUUGCCUGGGAUUAUAGCCCAGUUCUUACAAGCAGAGAAGCCUAGGACACUAACCCAGCUUCAAGAGUAUACUCA